rnacentral:rRNA from 1 species
UACUAGAGUAGCACUCGCAUAUCAAUAAGCGGAGGAAAAGAAACUAACAAGGAUUCCCCUAGUAACGGCGAGUGAAGCGGGAAGAGCUCAAAUUUGAAAUCUUAAAGGGUUUCCCUUUACGAAUUGUAGUUUAAAGAAGUGUUUUCUGUUGAGGUUUUGGUAAAAGUUCUUUGGAAUAGGACAUCAUAGAGGGUGAGAAUCCCGUAUUUGACCUCUACUUUCAACUUUGUGAUACACUUUCAAAGAGUCGGAUUGUUUGGGAAUGCAGUCCAAAAUGGGUGGUAAAUUUCAUCUAAAGCUAAAUAGUUGGCGAGAGACCGAUAGCGAACAAGUACCGUGAGGGAAAGAUGAAAAGAACUUUGAAAAGAGAGUUAAACAGUACGUGAAAUUGUCAAAAGGGAAGCGUUUGACACCAGUGUUGUUUUUCUGAAAAUCAAUUAAAGAACUGUUUAUGCUAAGCUGUUUAGACUUUAUCAGCUAUCUGUUUAGUUUUGAGCUUUUCUUUAAUGCACUUUUCAGUUAACAAGUCAACAUCAAUUUCUUUUGCUGUAAAAAAGCUUGAGGAAGGUGGCUUGAGAUUCGUCUUAAGUGUUUAUAGCCUCUUGCCUAUGCAGUCGGAGAGAUUGAGGUCUGCAGCGUAGAUCCUUCGGGGCUAAAUGCAUUUGUGCUAAGUUAUAGCAUUUUAUAGACAACUUGUUGACUAUGAUUUGUCUUGUAGCUUACUCGCUUAUGUUAUUUUACCUACGCUUAGGAUGUUGAGUCAUCACACAUCUCU